UACGUAGGGUGCGAGCGUUAAUCGGAAUUACUGGGCGUAAAGCGUGCGCAGGCGGUUUUGUAAGCCCGAUGUGAAAUCCCCGGGCUUAACCUGGGAAUGGCAUUUGGGACUGCAAGGCUUGAGUGUGGCAGAGGGGACUGGAAUUCCUGGUGUAGCAGUGAAAUGCGUAGAGAUCAGGAGGAAUACCGAUGGCGAAGGCAGGUCCCUGGGCUGACACUGACGCUCAUGCACGAAAGCGUGGGGAGCAAACAGG
rnacentral:rRNA from 1 species